rnacentral:rRNA from 1 species
AUUGAACGCUGGCGGCAGGCCUAACACAUGCAAGUCGAGCGAGCGGCGGACGGGUGAGUAAUGUCUGGGAAACUGCCUGAUGGAGGGGGAUAACUACUGGAAACGGUAGCAAAUACCGCAUACCAUCAGAUGUGCCCAGAUGGGAUUAGCUAGUAGGUGGGGUAACGGCUACCCUAGGCGACGAUCCCUAGCUGGUCUGAGAGGAUGACCAGCCACAAGGUAGUGGAGCCACGGUCCAAACCCCUACGUGAGGUAUCAGUGGGGAAUAUUGCACAAUGGGCGCAAGCCUGAUGCAGCCAGGCCGCGUGUGUGAAGAAGGCCUUCGGGUUGUAAAGCACUUUCAGCGGGGAGGCGUUACCCGCAGAAGAAGCACCGGCUAACUCCGUGCCAGCAGCCGCGGUAAUAC